rnacentral:lncRNA from 12 species
UGAGGUCUGCAGAGAGCCGAGGCCGCAGCCCGCCCGAGUCCGGGGAGGGAGGACCCGCGAGAGGACCCAGGGAGCCUCCCACAGGUGUCCUCCUACCCCCGCCACGCAGAGCCCAUCUCCCGCGGACGUGCAACCAGCCCUUAGGGACCCCUGGCACGGGGUCCGGAUGUGACGUGGGCCGACUUCCGCCUCGGAGGUCUGAGGGAGCGGAGGGCCUCGUGUGGGGGGCGCAUUGGGGUCCCCUGGAAGGAGGCCAGGCCCGGGCCGGCGGCAGCCGGGCAGCAGGGCCUCCAAGAACUGGCAGCAGAGCCCUCGGUCUGAGGUGGGAGCGCUAAGGUCGCAGAGCACAGGAGCACAGCGUGUGGGCUGGUGCCACUGGUCCAGGAAAUUCCAGGAGUCUGAGAGCAGAGAGCCAGGAACUGUGCACCGAGGGCAAAUCUCUAUUGCUUAUAAAUCAGUAUCCGAGGUGCCUUCUCAAGCUUGU